ACGGGUGAGUAACGCGUGAGGAACCUGCCUCAAAGAGGGGGACAACAGUUGGAAACGACUGCUAAUACCGCAUAAGCCCACGGGUCGGCAUCGACCAGAGGGAAAAGGAGUGAUCCGCUUUGAGAUGGCCUCGCGUCCGAUUAGCUAGUUGGUGAGGUAACGGCCCACCAAGGCGACGAUCGGUAGCCGGACUGAGAGGUUGAACGGCCACAUUGGGACUGAGACACGGCCCAGACUCCUACGGGAGGCAGCAGUGGGGAAUAUUGCACAAUGGGGGAAACCCUGAUGCAGCGACGCCGCGUGGAGGAAGAAGGUCUUCGGAUUGUAAACUCCUGUUGUUGAGGAAGAUAAUGACGGUACUCAACAAGGAAGUGACGGCUAACUACGUGCCAGCAGCCGCGGUAAAACGUAGGUCACAAGCGUUGUCCGGAAUUACUGGGUGUAAAGGGAGCGCAGGCGGGAAGACAAGUUGGAAGUGAAAUCCAUGGGCUCAACCCAUGAACUGCUUUCAAAACUGUUUUUCUUGAGUAGUGCAGAGGUAGGCGGAAUUCCCGGUGUAGCGGUGGAAUGCGUAGAUAUCGGGAGGAACACCAGUGGCGAAGGCGGCCUACUGGGCACCAACUGACGCUGAGGCUCGAAAGUGUGGGUAGCAAACAGGAUUAGAUACCCUGGUAGUCCACACCGUAAACGAUGAUUACUAGGUGUUGGAGGAUUGACCCCUUCAGUGCCGCAGUUAACACAAUAAGUAAUCCACCUGGGGAGUACGACCGCAAGGUUGAAACUCAAAGGAAUUGACGGGGGCCCGCACAAGCAGUGGAAGUAUGUGGUUUAAUUCGACGCAACGCGAAGAAC
rnacentral:rRNA from 1 species